rnacentral:misc_RNA from 1 species
GAUGAAGAACGUAGCGAAAUGCGAUAAGUAAUGUGAAUUGCAGAGUUCAGUGAAUCAUCGAAUCUUUGAACGCACAUUGCGGCCAUAGGUAUUCCUUUGGCCAUGCCUGUUCGAGCGUCAUUUACACCCUCAAGCCUAGCUUGGUGUUGGGCGUCUGUCCCGCCGUUCUCGCGCGCGGACUCGCCUCAAAGUCAUUGGCGGCGGUCGUGCCGGCCCCCUCGCGCAGCACAUUUGCGCUUCUCGGAGGCCCGGUGGAUCCGCGCUCCAGCAAGACCUUUCACGACUUGACCUCGGAUCAGGUAGGGAUACCCGCUGAACUUAAGCAUAUCAAUAAGCGGAGGA